AUGAGGAGACAUCAGCAUGUCACUUUCCUUGACACCCAACUACUGCCCCCAGAAGAGAUUCUUUCCAGGCUAAGAAAGACCCCACUGCCUAUCCAGCAGUGGGGCUCAGUAAGCCAUGAAGUGAUUUACAAACAUUGGCUACCAUGGUCUAUUACAGGUAGAAGCAACAGUGAAAAUCACGACGGUGAGAUCAAGCAAAGCAGAUGGACUGAAGGACAAGGACGACUCUGCCCAGCAGAGGGAGGGAAAGCCCGGGCUGGACUCCACGUGGCCGGAGCUCCCAGAGUUCCCUUCUUGGCGUUAGAGUCAUUAGCUGGCUGUGUCGUGGUCAAUGUGCUGAGCUUUGUGGUUCCUGGAGCCAACUCCCUCCCUCUCUGCUGCCUCCAUGCAUGGAGGUCACUUGCUGGAACGCAGAUGUGUGCAAUGCCCGGAGAUCCAAGUUAAAUAUCUCAACCGGUUCUUGUGGUUGUGGAAACAGCUUUGGCUCCCAGGCGGUUGACACUGAAAAACAGAAGUCCCUGCUGCGUCUGACAUCACGUGGCUCAGGAGGUCAGUUGCCUUCUCAAAAAGUGAGCUUCCUGUGUGGAUAAGGCAGCCCCACAGCCAGCCUGGCAACAGACAGCUUCAUGAGAAGGGACAAGAUGAAAACGGAUUCCUGGGCAAGGCUGAGAGUGGAUCCGCCAUUCCUGCCUGAGCCUCUUCCACAGCUGCCCUUUUUAGGGGUCACCAGACUUCCUCAUACAGACCUCAUGGUGCCCGCACCUGGACCUGUUAGAAGGUUCUGUUGCCUUAGCUUAGUAAAUUUUCAUAGAGAGUUUUAAGCUUUCCUUUUUGCAUGUUAUCCUCAUGGUUGUACUCUUCAGGGCACUUGUUCCUUCGGUAAUUAUCCUUAAUGAAGGUAUUUCCAUAUUGACGCGAGGUAGGUGGGGUGUUGAAGACAGAGGGAGACUCGAGACGGUGCAUUGCCUCUGGAUUACAUGAGAGGGGUUAGAUGGCUGAGUGUUAGUUACAUCCCAGUCAGAACACUUGCGCCACUAGGUUUCACCAAAUGCCAAUCAUACUGGACUGAGCUCCUCUGCUCCUCUCCCUGAAACUAUUAUGGCAAGUCAUUAACAAAAAGGCUUCCUUUUCUGAAGGCAAAUAUCUCUCUAUCUAUCUCAUCAGUCUUAGCGCUGGAAGAGAUGCAGCUCUGGGCUGGCUCUGAUGCAGACUUGUCACAAAGGCUUGAGUAAGUGACUUCAUCUUGCUGGGGAGAAAUGGUCCCUUGCCCCAGGUUCAAAUGGUUGCCACCUUCCAGCUACAGUAGGGAUCCAGGGUGGGGCAGAGCUGAAGGCUAACCCUGGGCCAGAGGGUCAACAUGAUGUCAUGUGCAUUAAGCAGGAGAGGUCCUUGGGGACCCGAGAAGACGCCUAGGGUCAAAGGAAGCUGAUUUUUCUGGUUAUUAGAAUGAUCCCAUUUCUCUGAUUUCAGGGACUUCAGAAGACUUCCAGAUUUGGUCACCCCCAAAGCUUGAAAUGUCACUAGGGGUCACUCCCUUGACUAAGAGAUUGAUUGCCAAGGGCUCCUGUUAAAAUGCUCAGCGUCACCAAGCAGGGCUGUCUGCAUGCACAACACCUGCUCAUAGCCGCACAUUCACCCGUGAGCCUCCCUGGCUGCCUCUUAGCAGAGCCUGGACAGGAUGGGAUAAGGGAGGCCAGGCCUGUAAUCCUAGCACUUUGGGAGGCUGAGGCGGGCGGAUCACCUGAGGUCAGGAGUUCCAGAGCAGCUUGGUCAACACAGUGAAACCCCAGCGGAGACCACUGCAACAGACUGAGACCCCAUCUCAUAAAAACAAACAAACACAAACAGAACAACCCAGGGAGGUAUGCAUAGUUAACAGAAGAGGAAACUGAGGGGUUAAUCUGCUAAGGUCAUACCUCAUAGGUAUAGUAGAGAGGUCCAGGUGAGAAUUCAGUUCUUUUUCGGCUUCUUGGUCAGUUUAGGUAUUUAUUUAUUUAUUUAUUAUUUUUUGACGGAGUCUUGCUCUGUCGCCGAGGCUGGAAUGCAGUGGCACAAUCUCAGCUCACUGCAACCCCCGUCUUCUGGGUUCAAGCGAUUCUCCUGCCUCAGCCUCCCGAGUAGCUGGGAUUACAGGCGCCCGCCACCACGCACAGCUAAUUUUUGUAUUUUUAGUAGAGACGGGGUUUCAUCAUGUUGGCCAGGAUGGUCUCCUGACCUUGUGAUUUGCCCGCCUUGGCCUCCCAAAGUGCUGGGAUUACAUGCGUGAGCCACCGCGCCCCGCCUGUUUUGUUUUUUACCUUAAGUGCAUGAUGAGGGAGAUGAGAAAACGGGGGGAGAGAGAGAGUAUUGUGACCACCCCCUAGCCUGGGAGAGAGAUUUGUAUGCCUGUUGUGAAAAGCAGGGAUGGGAAUUCUGAAAUAAAAACACAGUUGGACAGUUUCCCACGGAGUGGUAACGUAAACCCACUCAGGCCAACCAUACUCAAGUGCUGUCUGUCUACCCACACGCCCGUGUCAGAAAUGCCCUUCGGUGCUUCCAUGCAGAAGGGAAGGAAGCACUUUUACAUUUUAGUUCUGCUUGUUAUUUGGAAGUUAUUUUAAAGGUCAUUUAAGUGGGUUUUUUUGUUGUUGUUGUUAACAGAGUUGUUUCCAGCCACUGCUAUGAGCCCAUCUAAAUGAAAUCAUGAG
ensembl:lncRNA